AGCCGGGGUGGUAGCGGUACCCUGAACCAGCAAUCCGCUAUAGCUGGGGUGAUGUUUCGCAGAGGGUUUGAGGCUGUGAAGCUGCCCGCUGCAAGUGGCGCUGACGUCUGGGUCUCGCGCAACAGGAAUUUGCGAACCGGGUCAGGUCAGGAAUGAAGCAGCCCUAAGUAAAACCUCCUGUGUGCCGUGAGGGUGCCUGGACUGAGCUAACUACAGCGGUAACGUUCAUGGUUAGAAUUCG
rnacentral:SRP_RNA from 1 species